rnacentral:tRNA from 1 species
GGUUUCAUAGUGUACCAGAGUUAUCACAUCUGCUUUAUACGCAGAAGUCCUGGGUUUGUGUCCCAGUAGAGGCA